GAUGAAGAACGUAGCGAAAUGCGACACGUAAUGUGAAUUGCAGAAUUCAGUGAAUCAUCGAAUCUUUGAACGCAUAUUGCGCUCUCUGGUAUUCCGGAGAGCAUGCUUGUUUGAGUAUCAGUAAACACCUCAACUUCCAUAUCUUUUUUGAAAUGGGAGUUGGACUUGAGUGAUCCCAACGCUUUUCCUCACCGAAAAGUGGCGGGUUACUUGAAAUGCAGGUGCAGCUGGACUUUUCUCUGAGCUAUAAGCAUAUCUAUUUAGUCUGCCUAAAAAACAGAUUAUUACCUUUGCUGCAGCUAACAUAAAGGAGAUUAGUUCUUGUGCUGACUGAUGCAGGAUUCACAAAGACAGGCUUCGGCCGACUUUGUAAACUCGAUCUCAAAUCAAGUAAGACUACCCGCUGAACUUAAGCAUAUCAAUAAGCGGAGGA
rnacentral:misc_RNA from 1 species